AAAUAGAAAUGGCAAGCAAUAGUAUAUAUUGGAAUAUAUGAGGAAGCCAUUUGGUUUAAAACUAAUUCAGCUUGACCUUGUUUUUCCAAAAGGGCCUGAUG